rnacentral:rRNA from 1 species
UUGCUUGUUGGGGUUGUAGGACACUCUAUACGGAGUUACAAAGGACGACAUUAGACGAAUCAUCUGGAAAGAUGAAUCAAAGAAGGUAAUAAUCCUGUAGUCGAAAAUGUUGUCUCUCUUGAGUGGAUCCUGAGUACGACGGAGCACGUGAAAUUCCGUCGGAAUCUGGGAGGACCAUCUCCUAAGGCUAAAUACUCUCUAGUGACCGAUAGUGAACCAGUACCGUGAGGGAAAGGUGAAAAGCACCCCGGAAGGGGAGUGAAAUAGAACCUGAAACCGUGUGCUUACAAGUAGUCAGAGCCCGUUAAUGGGUGAUGGCGUGCCUUUUGUAGAAUGAACCGGCGAGUUACGAUUUGAUGCAAGGUUAAGCAGUAAAUGUGGAGCCGUAGCGAAAGCGAGUCUGAAUAGGGCGUUUAGUAUUUGGUCGUAGACCCGAAACCAGGUGAUCUACCCUUGGUCAGGUUGAAGUUCAGGUAACACUGAAUGGAGGACCGAACCGACUUACGUUGAAAAGUGAGCGGAUGAACUGAGGGUAGC